rnacentral:rRNA from 1 species
UACGGAGGGGGCUAGCGUUGUUCGGAAUUACUGGGCGUAAAGCGCACGUAGGCGGAUUGGAAAGUUGGGGGUGAAAUCCCGGGGCUCAACCCCGGAACUGCCUUCAAAACUCCCAGUCUGGAGGUCGAGAGAGGUGAGUGGAAUUCCGAGUGUAGAGGUGAAAUUCGUAGAUAUUGGGUGGAACACCGGUGGCGAAAGCGGCUCUCUGGUCCGGACCUGACGCUGAGGCGCGAAAGCGUGGGGAGCAAACAGG